rnacentral:rRNA from 1 species
CUACCCGGGUUUCUAAUCCUGUUUGCUCCCCACGCUUUCGCACAUGAGCGUCAAUGCCAGACCAGGUAGUCGCCUUCGCCACUGGUGUUCUUCCGAAUAUCUACGAAUUUCACCUCUACACUCGGAAUUCCACUACCCUCUUCUGGAUUCUAGCUCGACAGUCUUAAAAGCAAUUCCCAGGUUAAGCCCGGGGCUUUCACUUCUAAUUUAUCGAGCCGCCUGCGUGCGCUUUACGCCCAGUAAUUCCGAACAACGCUAGCCCCCUUCGUAUUACCGCGGCUGCUGGCAC